GCCUUUGUAGUGUAGUGGUCAGCACACUUAGCGCGUAUUCGAGAGGUCCGUGGUUCGAUUCCCGGCGAAGGCG
rfam:Stegodyphus mimosarum contig104174, whole genome shotgun sequence.